GACGAACGCUGGCGGCGUGUUUAACACAUGCAAGUCGAACGGUGACGGUGGAGCUUGCUCCGCCUGAUCAGUGGCGAACGGGUGAGUAACACGUGGGCAACCUGCCCCAGACUUCGGGAUAACUCCUCGAAAGAGGCGCUAAUACCGGAUACGAACUCCUUGGGCAUCCUUGGAGUUGGAAAGUUUUUCGGUCUGGGAUGGGCCCGCGGCCUAUCAGCUUGUUGGUGAGGUAACGGCUCACCAAGGCGACGACGGGUAGCCGGCCUGAGAGGGCGACCGGCCACACUGGGACUGAGACACGGCCCAGACUCCUACGGGAGGCAGCAGUGGGGAAUCUUGCGCAAUGCGCGAAAGCGUGACGCAGCAACGCCGCGUGAGGGAAGACGGCCUUCGGGUUGUAAACCUCUUUCAGGAGGGACGAAGGUUCGCCGGCGAAUAGCCUGGCGGAUUGACGGUACCUCCAGAAGAAGCCCCGGCUAAC
rnacentral:rRNA from 1 species